UACGGAGGAUGCGAGCGUUAUCCGGAUUUAUUGGGUUUAAAGGGUGCGUAGGCGGACGCGUAAGUCGGCGGUGAAAUGUCCCGGCUCAACCGGGGAGCUGCCGUUGAUACUGCGCGACUAGGGUGCGAGCGGCGCCGGCGGAAUGUGUGGUGUAGCGGUGAAAUGCAUAGAUACCACACAGAACACCGAUCGCGAAGGCAGCUGGCGAGGACGUUACUGACGCUGAGGCACGAAGGCGUGGGGAUCGAACAGG
rnacentral:rRNA from 1 species